rnacentral:rRNA from 1 species
CAUAGGUUUGGUCCCAGCCUUCCUGUUAACUCUCAACAGACUUACACAUGCAAGCAUCCACGCCCCGGUGAGUAACGCCCUCCAAAUCAAUAAGACUAAGAGGAGCAGUUGGUUCAAGCACACAUCUUGUAGCUUACAACGCCUCGCUUAACCACACCCCUACGGGAGACAGCAGUGACAAAAAUUAAGCCAUAAACGAAAGUUUGACUAAGCCAUGUUGACCAGGGUUGGUAAAUCUCGUGCCAGCCACCGCGGUCAUACGAUUAACCCAAGCUAACAGGAAUACGGCGUAAAACGUGUUAAAGCACUACAUCAAAUAGAGUUAAAUUCUAAUUAAACUGUAAAAAGCCAUAAUUACAACAAAAAUAGAUGACGAAAGUAACCCUACUGCAGCUGAUACACUAUAGCUAAGACCCAAACUGGGAUUAGAUACCCCACUAUGCUUAGCCCUAAACACAAAUAAUUACAGAAACAAAAUUAUUCGCCAGAGUACUACCGGCAACAGCCCGAAACUCAAAGGACUUGGCGGUGCUUUAUACCCUUCUAGAGGAGCCUGUUCUAUAAUCGAUAA